UGGAUUGUUGACUUUGCCUUAGUGUCUCAGCUUGUAUUGUUCACUGUAAUCGCCGCCAUGAGAGCUUCAGAAGGUCAUACUACUUCUAAGGCGGCGGUUGACGAGAUAAUCGUGGUGGUUACAUGAUUCUGUGUUUCACUACUUUACUCAGAGAUAUCAAUCGGAGAGGCCACUACAAGAAAUAUGUACAUUCUUAAGUCACGAUAAACGCUAUCGUUGGGCUUUCAUAGCGAAACUGCUAAUGUUAUGUCAUCGGCAGCCAUCAUAGGUACCCACUCUACGAUAGCAUUUUUGACGCUACGUUAAGUGUAGAUACGAUGGCAAUAAAUGAACGUUGUGAUUAAUAUUAUUAUAACACGAUUUGUUAAUUAUAAAAAUUGAUUACGAUUCAUAUUACGUGCUAUUAUAGGUUAUCUACAAUAGCUGUUUGUAAUUGCUAUAUUUAAUUUUGUAAUGAGUUAUAAUACGUUAUGAUAA